ACUUGAGUAAGUAUUGGGAGUUCAGGACCAGUUUAACAUUCGAGGACGAAUGUUCUAAAGGGGGGAAGAAUGUUAUACCCCGUAUUUUUAUACGUCAAAUUAUUCAUAAGUUAAUCGACAUAAGUUAAGGACGGGAUUAUUUUGGGAUAUGUAAUAGGAACUUUUAAUUCUCAAUUUUAAUGAGUGCACGAGUGUUUAUAAGUUUCAACUAGUAUGAAAAUAUUAGUGGAGAUUAGAGAUUUAUUUAACUAUGAUUAAGUUAUUAAGUGGCACAUAUUGAUUAAUUAAAGUUAACCAAGUAAAUUAGUGGGACAUGUGUCAAUGUUAUGGGCUACAUAUAUAUGGUCAUAAGAUGACUCAUAAUACACCAUUUCAUUCACAAAAUUCAUCCAUCAAAAUAGAGUUAGUGAGAGAAGCUCUCAAACUAGAGAGAGAGAGAGAGAAGUUCGGUCACUGUUCACGACGCCGGAACUGUUCACGGCGGCUACUGUUCACGCCGGAACUGUUCACGACGGCGGAACUGUUCACGACACACUGUUCACGGCGUCACUAUUUACGGCCAAGAGGAGAAAAAUCCAACCCCAUUUCUAGCCUUCCCAAAAAUAAUUCCUUGGUGUUAACCCACUAUUUGGAGGUCCCUAAGUAGCGUGGAAGCAUUAUUGGAGCGAUCAAACCAUCCAUUUUUGUAAAUCGCAAACCCUAACUUUCUUGUGGAGUAAAGAACAAAGACCUUGAGGAGCCCGAGGCGUAGAUUGGGAUUAACUUUAGAUCGGCUAGCUUGGAGUGCGUACGAGGUACAGACGCACAGUUUGGUGAUCUACCCAUUUAGGACAUCCUCUUCUGCUGUUUGGAGUGCUCUUCUCAUUUCAGAGCACACAUUUUGGUAUACAUUUGUUCGCUAUGUAUAUAUGUAUUUGUUCAGGGGUACGGCGGGGCCCUGUCCCGUCAUAUGAUUCUGUCGGUCUGUUUAGAGGUCUGUGGACAUGUUUGUGGGUUAGGGUCUUUCUGUAUGGAUGUAUGUACAUGUCGUUUGGGCGAUCCCAUACGCCGAGGCGGCCGGUCCGCAUAUGUUGUUUGGGCGAUCCUAUACGCUGAGGCGGCCGGUCCGCAUAUGUUUAUAUAUUGCUUGGUUAGCCCUGUGUGGCUUUUGUUGGUAUUUUCUGCGUGCAGGGUAUAUUGGAUAGUCCGUAAAACAAAGGAAACUCUGCCGAAAUUUUUCUGGAAAUUACCUAAAUCUGAAAUAAAGCCUUGUCGGCGUACAUAUAUAUCUGCAUACGGUUGCGUUGAGAUGUGUUUGAACAGUUUGAUAUAGUUUGAGACGGCAUAUAGUAAUUAUGGCCGUAUAUGCUAUCUGUUUGUGAUUUGAUUUGGAUAAGUGUGUUACGAUUUGAUAUGUUUGUCUGUCUGGGUGUCCAAGUAGGGCACCAGUCGCGGCC